UACGGAGGAUGCGAGCGUUAUCCGGAUUUAUUGGGUUUAAAGGGUGCGUAGGCGGACUGUUAAGUCAGCGGUAAAAGCCCGGGGCUCAACCCCGGCGAGCCGUUGAAACUGGCUGUCUUGAGAUGUCGAGAGGUAUGCGGAAUGCGCAGUGUAGCGGUGAAAUGCGUAGAUAUUAGGAGGAACACCAGUGGCGAAGGCGGCUUACUGGACGAUGACUGACGCUGAGGCUCGAAAGCGUGGGGAGCAAACAGG
rnacentral:rRNA from 1 species